GAUGAACGCUGGCGGCGUGCCUAAUACAUGCAAGUCGAGCGAACGGACGAGAAGCUUGCUUCUCUGAUGUUAGCGGCGGACGGGUGAGUAACACGUGGAUAACCUACCUAUAAGACUGGGAUAACUUCGGGAAACCGGAGCUAAUACCGGAUAAUAUUUUGAACCGCAUGGUUCAAAAGUGAAAGACGGUCUUGCUGUCACUUAUAGAUGGAUCCGCGCUGCAUUAGCUAGUUGGUAAGGUAACGGCUUACCAAGGCAACGAUGCAUAGCCGACCUGAGAGAGGGAUCGGCCACACUGGAACUGGGACACGGUCCAGACUCCUACGGGAGGCAGCAGUAGGAAAUCUUCCGCAAUGGGCGAAAGCCUGACGGAGCAACGCCGCGGGAGUGAUGAAGGUCUUCGGAUCGUAAAACUCUGUUAUUAGGGAAGAACAUAUGUGUAAGUAACUGUGCACAUCUGGACGGUACCUAAUCAGAAAGCCACGGCUAACUACGU
rnacentral:rRNA from 1 species